GAAGGCUCUAAAAAGGAGAAAAGAGGACACAAAAAAUGGAGAUCAAAGAAUUAUAGCAAGGAAAAUAAAAGCACACAACAGCAAAAUCCUGACACUUCAUCUUUCCGUCUGCACGUGUCUCACCCAAACUUGAUGUAUUCAGAGCCAGUUUCAGCAGACUCAUGCCUGGAUAGCCCAGACUCACCAACAGAAGCCUCUCGAAUGCAGGAGGAGUUCUGUCGGCUCGCUGGCACUGUUCAAUCCACUCUUCGGUCAGCGUACAC